GAAGUUGCCUUUUGAUGCUGUGGGAUAUUCUUGGCAAAUACUUAGUUCAUACAGGGGCGUUUCCGUCAUUCCGUGUGUUUUGUGGUGGGUCCGAGCUACUGUUUGUCCAUUUUCCAAAUUACUAAUAUGGGUUUUCUAACUUUCUUAAUAUUCCGGUUGUGUCCCCAAAAAAGUAAUUCUAUUUUGUCUUUUAGCGUCUGGCAUUUCAGGUUUUGUUCAGGGGUAAGUUGGUAUUUUCAUCUUUUGCACCUGACAGGUUCACGCGUUUUCUGCAUUUUCUGCAGAGUGACGUCUGUUCUCUUCUCUUCCAUUCUCUGCUUGUGCAUCUCUCUCUCUCUCUCUAAACUCCACCCUCAGUUGCUGAACAACAAUGGAAGGCAGCAUGCGCUACAAGAUCGGGCAAAAUGCCUACAUCAAGCUCGUCCUCCAAGCCCUAAAUCCCAAGGCCUCCCCCAUCAAUGGCCUCCUCCUGGGCCGCCUCUGUGUUUUCUGCGUUUUUUGCAGAAAGGCGUCUUCGUCGCUUGUCUGUGCUUCCACUUUUGUUGUGGUUGAUUACAGAGAGAGAGACAGAAAUCUCCACAACCGAUUCAAACUCUUCGAACAGCAACUCCAAAACCGAAUCAAACUCCUCAGACCAUGGGAUUCUUCCUCCUCGUCGGAGUUUCUGAGACAUAAUCUUCAUUCAGUUCGAGCGGUGGUCGUUAACGCGGUGUGUGGGGCCUGCUCCGAGUUGAUCGACGGCUGAGUCUGGAAAUCCGAGUUGAUCGACGGCCGAGUCUGGAAAUCCGAGUUGAUCGACGGCCGUGUCUACACCGUCGAUUGUUGGUGUGAUCGGCGUGUGGGGCCUGCUCCGAGUUGAUCGAUGGCCGAGUCUGGAAAUCCGAGUUGAUCGACGGCCGAGUCUGGAAAUCCGAGUUGAUCGAUGGCCGUGUCUACACCGUCGAUUGUUGGUGUGAUCGGCGUGUGGGGCCUACUCUGAGUUGAUCGAUGGCCGAGUCUGGAAAUCCGAGUUGAUCGACGGCCGAGUCUGGAAAUCCGAGUUGAUCGACGGCCGUGUCUACACCGUCGAUUGUUGGUGUGAUCGGUCUGUGAGCAGUGGGUUGUGGAGGGAUGGUGAUUUCCAGUUGGGUUCUUGGUUUUUGCUCGAGGGUGAGGAACACGGUGGCCGCCGUCACAGGCAUCGGCGGUGACGGAGAACUGCUUCGUAAAUCACCCCUCUGUCGAUAUUAACGGAUAAGUUCACAAAUGAGGUAGAAGUUGGACCCAUUUUCCCCAAAUAUAGAUGCUUGGAGCCAACAAAAGAAGGGCUUUUGUUUGGUACCAAUUGCGAUUAAAACUACAGAUACCAGAGAGAAGAAGCAAAAAUUCAAGCUUGGGUGAACCUCCAAAAUGCUAAAGCAGAAGCUCAGUCAAGAAAGCUUGAGGUUAAAGUUGAAAGGAUGAGGGCAGAUUUGGAAGAGAAGUUGAUGAAGAGAAUGGCUGUUGUUCAUAGAAAAGCCGAGGAAUGGAGAGCGGCAGCCCAGCUACAACACUCAGAGCAAAUCCUGAGGGCUGCGAAAGAGUCACAGAAGAUCGUGAACCGCCGUAAUUCUCAUUUCAAUGGCCACAGGUCUUGUGGUUGCUUUCCUUGUAAUAUUAAUCAUGUUUAAACAGCAGAAGGAACCUUCAAAAUUCAACCAGAAGAAAAGCCUUGCAUCCAAUUCUUUGUAAUUGGAUGCUUUGUUGAGCUGAUUAUAUAUAAGAGAGGAAAUAAGUUAGAGAAAUACUAAUAACGUGCGUAGU